AAAGGUGGCCCUCUAUUUAUAAGCUAUCACUGAAGGAGGGGAUUGCGUCUGAUUAGCUAGUUGGAGGGGUAACGGCCCACCAAGGCGAUGAUCAGUAGCCGGUCUGAGAGGAUGAACGGCCACAUUGGGACUGAGACACGGCCCAGACUCCUACGGGAGGCAGCAGUGGGGAAUCUUCCGCAAUGGACGAAAGUCUGACGGAGCAACGCCGCGUGAGUGAUGACGGCCUUCGGGUUGUAAAGCUCUGUUAAUCGGGACGAAUGGUUUCUUGUGCAAAUAGUGCGAGGAUUUGACGGUACCGGAAUAGAAAGCCCG
rnacentral:rRNA from 1 species